rnacentral:rRNA from 1 species
UACGAAGGACCCGAGCGUUAUCCGGAUUUAUUGGGUUUAAAGGGUGCGUAGGCGGAUUUACAAGUCAGUGGUGAAAGCCCCCGGCUCAACCGGGGAACGGCGCGGGAAACUAGCAGGCUGGAGUUCGGGAGAGGGAAGCGGAAUUCCGGGUGUAGCGGUGAAAUGCGUAGAGAUGUGGAGGAACACCGAUGGCGAAGGCAGCCCCCUGGGUCGACACUGACGCUCAUGCACGAAAGCGUGGGGAGCAAACAGG